CAAAACCCCAGGCUCAAUGGGAGAUGCCUACCGUGCAAAGUCCCGGAGCGCUGGCCUGGAGGAAGAGGGCGUCCCGCGCCUGUGCAAAUACCUGGAGAACGCGCGGGAGACGAUGCUGCUGCAGGCUUUCCCAGAUUUUUCACCAGUGAUUCAAUGGGAGGAAACCAGGUCCCAGACUUGAUUAAAAACAAACAAAAAAACCCUAGGUGAGUGUGUAUGUAUGUGUAAAUGGUGCUACGCAAUGGUGUGAUUGGAUAGUCAAGGGGAUAACUACCUUGUGUGUAUAUGAGGAGCAAAUUUGGAAUCAAAGAAACUUGGUGUUGUCCCAAGACUAGAGUUCAUGGGAGGAAAAUCUGCAGGGCAGACUUCUAAGAGUGCAUUGUCUAAUGCCAGGCACUUCCGCCUCCUUUCUUCCAUUGUUUCCAGGUUCUACUUUGGGCUGGCAUUUAAAUUUUUAUACUACUUCAAGUAUAAGGCCAAUGGUUUACUCUGGGAGCUUGCAGCCCCCUCUUCCACCCUGGCCUCACACAGGUCAUUCUCUCUUCACAGGUAUCGAAAGAGGGUAACAACCUCGUCUUCAAGUAAAUAAAGGGAGGGAUUCAAAUUAUAAGGCAAAGGAAAAAUUGGUUCUUUGCUGUGGGGAAGAGUUGCUGAAAAUUAAAGAACAAUCUCCUGAGCUGAAGGAAGCUUUGGGUUUGGUAAUUUGGGGUGUGGGGCAGGCCUUCCAGAAUGCCAAGGGCGUCAAGACUAGUGUGUCUCGCCCUUAGUGUUUCCUUCCUCCAUUUGAGAGAGCUUUCUGGCAUAGAACAAAAAAAAAGUUCACCCCUUCUUGUCUCUGCUGACACCUAGAUUCUUCUCAGCUGUAUGUCCCUGUUCCUAUUAGGGUAACACAGGAUGGGGGAAGAAUAGCUCAGUGAUCUUCCCUUCACAUCUCCCCUAAAAGCAUUGUGAAAUAUCAUGUGCCCCCUCCCACAGGCUUAGGUUGACCUGAAAUUCUCAGCAUGUGUUCAAAGAAUUGCAAAGAAUGUAAUUUACAACAUAUUAUAUGUAUAUAUAUAUUAACACGUUUAAAUAAAACUGUUAAUCACAUGUCCAAUGGAAUCUAAAUACCAUAACAUUUUGACACCCAUCGUUAAUUUUUUAAAUGCACAAUCUCUUUCUUAACAGUUGGAAAUUUUACACUGUUCCUUUUUUUUCCUUUGAAUUCAUAUUUUCAUUUUAUUCUCCCUAUAGAAUUUUUUUUUUUUUUUGAAUUCUCAAGCCUGGCUGCAUCCUCAUGUAAUAUAUUUUUGUUCUUGGACUUCUUUUCUUGAUCCAUCUUUUGCAACAAAAUAUGUUCUUAAAGUGAAUUUUUUAUUUCCUGUUCUAAGUGUUUAAAAAGUCAUCUGGAUUAAGAUAAUAUUACAAUUAUUAGAGAUACACAGUUGAUCAAACAAUAUAAAUAAUAUAGAUUUUGGUAAAUAAAAGAAUAAAUUUUUAAAAAGUAAAAUUUAUCUGGAAAUAUAUCUCUUACUGAGAUAGAUAGGGGCUUUAUAUUGCCAACUUUAUGAGGAUGAAAGCUACUUAUUGAUAUUAUGAGGCUGGGGUCUAUGUGAUUUCUAUUCCUUUAAAAAAUUUUUAACAUGAAAGAACUAAAAGAAUCUUGUUCACAUAACUAAGUAUGGAAACAGGAUAAAUAUGGGAAUGAAAAGAAUUUUAUUGUAACAACUUCAUCCAAUUUCUAAAAUUUCUUCUUAGUUAUAUGUCAAAAAUUAUAUAGUGAGCUGUUAUUAAAUACUAUUUUUAAUAACCUCACAACUCAAGUAUAGAGUUCUUCAAUAUUGUUGAAACAAAGAAUUAGAAACUACCUGAUUUGCAAAAAUAUUUGUACACAUACGUUAUGUUCUGUCACUUUCUCAGGUCUUAGAAGUAGACCAAAGAGGCUUUACAGAUUCUUACCAAACUAAUAAUUAUACUUGUUAGUCUUUCACUUAGAGGCAUCUUGUUUCUGAAACUCAAAUUAGAUGAAACUGAGGUUAGAAAGAAACAAACAAACCCACAAAAUUGGAAAUUAAAAAUCAAUAGGUUCCAAAUAAAGACUUUUCCCCAUU